CUAUAGGCUCUUUUCAAAGCCAUAAUUAUUAAAUAUUAUGAAAUAU
rfam:Strongylocentrotus purpuratus Contig74886_fixed, whole genome shotgun sequence.